rnacentral:rRNA from 1 species
GACGAACGCUGGCGGCGUGCUUAACACAUGCAAGUCGAACGGAAAGGCCCUGCUUUUGUGGGGUGCUCGAGUGGCGAACGGGUGAGUAACACGUGAGUAACCUGCCCUUGACUUUGGGAUAACUUCAGGAAACUGGGGCUAAUACCGGAUAGGAGCUCCUGCUGCAUGGUGGGGGUUGGAAAGUUUCGGCGGUUGGGGAUGUACUCGCGGCUUAUCAGCUUGUUGGUGGGGUAGUGGCUUACCAAGGCUUUGACGGGUAGCCGGCCUGAGAGGGUGACCGGCCACAUUGGGACUGAGAUACGGACCAGACUCCUACGGGAGGCAGCAGUGGGGAAUAUUGCACAAUGGGCGGAAGCCUGAUGCAGCAACGCCGCGUGCGGGAUGACGGCCUUCGGGUUGUAAACCGCUUUCGCCUGUGACGAAGCGUGAGUGACGGUAAUGGGUAAAGAAGCACCGGCUAACUACGUG